UGGUCUUCAUUUUCUUCGAUACAGGCACAACCGAGCGUAAAUAUUAAGCGAGAAAGUCUAGUGGAACGAUGCAGGGUUCAUUGGGUUUGUUUACAAAAAUUCAAGCAUCCGGUUAAGAAGACGACAAAUAAGAAUGGUAUUAAGUUGGUAGAAUGGAACUCCUUCCUGAUUCCUGCACAUACCAGAUACUCUUGAGGGACCAAUUUAAGGGCAAACAGACAAACGUUUUGAUGCAAAGAAAGCAUUGGAUUUGAAAGAAGAAAAAUGGAGAGAUUCUAAAAGUAUGAAGAUACUCCUGUGGAGAGAUUCUAAAAGUAUGAAGAUACUCCUGUGUAUAAUGAGGAAAUCUUGUCAGUGAAUGUUGUUGCAAUUGUGGACCAGGCCAGAGUUGUACUAAACCAACUAAGACACAAUGAGAUACAGGAAUGACACAAUGAGAAACAGGAAACAGGAAAGUGAUGACUGAUCGCCACCUGUUACAAAUUCAUCUAGAAAACUCCCCACAUCCAACAAGAGACAGUCUGACUUCAAAAUCUUCAUUGAAGGCAACUUAAUGGACAAGACAUCCGUCACAUAAAGAUUCACUAAAAUUGGAAUGAUAUACCAAUUUUAACUUUUAACAGACAAAUACAUUAUAGAUUUGAAAAUAGAUUACCCUUAGAUAAGUUGGAUGAUUAACAUUUACCUCAACACAGUACAAAGUGCUCAUGUUGAACUAUUGUGAUUGAUCAUAGUCUGUCCUUCAUUUUUAUGCCCCCACAAAGUGGCGGCAUAUAGGGUUGCCCUUGUCCGUACGUACGUACGUACGUCCCGAAGAUUGUUUCCGAUCUAAUUCUUGAAAACCGUUUGUCCAAUCCUCACCAAACUUUAAACACAUGUUUGUGACCAUAAUAUCUUGAUCAAGUUCGAUAGUCAUGGAAAUCGCUUUAGUCAUUUAGGAGUUACGGCCCUUUUUUGCCAAAAAUUCCCGAAGAUUGUUUCCGAUCUAAUUCUUGAAAACCGUUUGUCCAAUCCUCACCAAACUUUAAACACAUGUUUGUGACCAUAAUAUCUUGAUCAAGUUCGAUAGUCAUGGAAAUCGCUUUAGUCAUUUAGGAGUUACGGCCCUUUUUUGCCAAAAAUACUUCAAAAAUAUAUGUUUCCAAUCUAAUUCUUGAAAAGUAUGUGUCCAAUCCUCACCAAACUUUACAUACAUGAUUGUGACCAUAAUAUCUUGAUCAAGUUCGAUAGCCAUGGAAAUCGCUUUUGUCAUUUAGGAGUUACGGCCCUUUAUUUGCAAAAAAAGACUUGAAAAAUACGUCCCGAAGAUUGUUUCCGAUCUAAUUCUUGAAAACUGUUUGUCCAAUCCUCACCAAACUUUUAACACAUGUUUGUGACCAUAAUAUCUUGAUCAAGUUCGAUAGCCAUGGAAAUCGCUUUAAUCAUUUAGGAGUUAGGGCCCUCAGAUUAUCCUGAAUAAUCAUUAUGGCUUAUUUUCUGUGACAAAAAAUCGAAGUGGGGGCAUCCGUGUCCUAUGGACACAUUUCUAGUUAUUAACAGUUUCAUACAGUGUUAACACUUUAGUAUGGGGACUCAUUUUUAGCUCAACUUUUCGAAGAAUUUGGAGAGCUAUACUACUCACCCAAGCGUCGGCGUCGGUGUCACCCCUUGGUUAAGGGUUUGCGUGCAAGCACACAUAGGUUAAUAUCUCAGCAACUACUUAAGGUAUUGCAUUGAGACUUUAUACAAUGGUACUCAACCAUCCAACUUACUUAUUUAAACAAGUAAGAUAACUCUAGUUUGCAUUUAAUGUAAAUAAUAGGCCUUUAUUAUUUGACUUAGAAAUUCUGGUUAAGGUUUUGCAUGCAAGCACACAUUAUAUCUGACGUUAAUAUCUCAGCAACUGCUUGAGGUAUUGCAUUGAGACUUGAUACAAUGGUACUCAACCAUCCAACCUACUUAAUUUUCCAAGUUAUAUAACUAUAGUUUGCAUUUAAUGCAAAUACUUGCGUUUAUUAUUUCACUCAGAAAUUCUGGUUAAGGUUUUGCAUGUAAGCACACAUAGGUUAAUAUCUCAGCAACUACUGGAUGAAUUGCAUUGAGACUUUAUACAACCACCCAACCUAAUUGAAUAAUCAAGUUAGAUAAAAAUUCUGGUUAAAAUUUUGCAUGUAACCACAUUUAUGUUAAUAUCUCAGCACAUCAUGUAUUGCAUUGAAAUCUAAUCUAACAGUGAUCCAUGCAUGUUUCGCCAAAACUUUUCAAUCCUUUCACUGAAAAGCAGCGGAAUAGUCGAGAGCGCUGUCUCUGUGACAGCUCUUGUCUCUUUGGUCUUUAUUCGUACUGGCCAGAAUAUGUUUACCAAAAAAAUCUUAGUAGAGAUUGAUAACUGUUCAGGUUGGACAAAAAGCAUGUAGGUUGUUUGUUCUAAUAAUAUAAACUGUAAAUGCUUCAGAAACUAUAUAUAUAAUUUUCAUGAUAUUUGUCAGUAUUUAUUCUCGUCAACAUUUAAAUAAUAUUAGGUGAAACUUGUUUAUUGGUCAAAAUGUGUUUGAUUAGAGUGGCCUCAAGUUCCACUUUAUAUGAAUGAAAUUUGGUCAAGUUUUAGAAAAAAACUAUGUUCUAGUUUUAUAGGCCAUAUUCUCUUCCCAAGCCCUCCUUAAAGAAUGAAUGUAGGUAAGAUGAAACAGGAGUCACUAAAUCAAGUAUUAAAAGCCUGAAAAAUUGCUAUUCAU